UGAAGACCUUUGUUGUUACCAUGUAGGACCUGCGUCUGGGCGAGCUGCAGCCUCUGGGAUAAUAAUCUGUUUCGAGACACUUGAUACAGAACGUACCGAUGUGACCGCAGCGAUGUCAUGCCCAGAAACUGGAAUUCGGAGGGCAGAGCCAUGGGCUCUUCGUAUAAUUGAUGUACAGUGUCAUGUUCGUUUCCGGCGUACAGUACCGUGACUCAGCGAUUCCACGCACGACUCCGCGCUCGUCAGGGUAAGUGCGCUCACGCCCCUCACCGGCUCCACCGCGUCUGACCCUCCUCCUCUCUGGGAACGACCCGUUUACUCCCCGCAGUUAAGAGGCGGCAGCUCUAUUUGUCUCUUUUUCUCUUUGUUAAUGGGUUUUGUUUCUUAAAUUCCAC
rnacentral:lncRNA from 1 species